rnacentral:rRNA from 1 species
AUUGAACGCUGGCGGCAUGCUUUACACAUGCAAGUCGAACGGUAACAGGGAGCUUGCUCCGCUGCCGAGUGGCGAACGGGUGAGUAAUAUAUCGGAACGUACCCAAGAGUGGGGGAUAACGUAGCGAAAGUUACGCUAAUACCGCAUACGAUCUAUGGAUGAAAGCAGGGGACCUUCGGGCCUUGUGCUCCUGGAGCGGCCGAUAUCUGAUUAGCUAGUUGGUGAGGUAAAGGCUCACCAAGGCGACGAUCAGUAGCUGGUCUGAGAGGACGACCAGCCACACUGGAACUGAGACACGGUCCAGACUCCUACGGGAGGCAGCAGUGGGGAAUUUUGGACAAUGGGCGCAAGCCUGAUCCAGCAAUGCCGCGUGAGUGAAGAAGGCCUUCGGGUUGUAAAGCUCUUUUGUCAGGGAAGAAACGGCUGUGGCUAAUAUCCACGGCUAAUGACGGUACCUGAAGAAUAAGCACCGGCUAACUACGUG